CCAUUACCAAACUUCACCCAAACUCUUCUCACCACCACUCCACCACCGGAGCCUUACCACCGGUGCCCUAUUUCCUCUCCGUUCGUCGAAUCUCCAACGACCACCAUUUUUUCUGGUGAAUCUCCCUUCUUUCCCUCUUUUUCUUCACUAUUUACAGGUAUGUAUGUAUUUGCUUUUGGUGUGUGCAGGAUAUGAGUAGACGGCUAUCCACCCGGGCCUC